CAGCAGUCGAGAUGACUCCAGGCAAGCUCCUCACGCUGUCCCCAAAACCCCACCCCAGGUGAACGUGCAGCCGAAAAUACAGACUGGUGGAGCUGAUGUCAUUGAUCUGGUACGCACAGGAACAACUUGGGGAGCCGGGGCUGGAAUUCUGAGGAAAAGAAUUCUGGGGAUGCCUGACUUCUGGGGAAUUGCAAGCAGUGGAAAUUCAUCACAGCCAAGGAAAGGAAGGAAAAAGAGGAAGUUUCUGCUGACAUUUACAAGAACAGAGGCAAUACCCCAGGAGAGGUCAUGGAGCUCCAGUGCCCUACAGUGUCCCCACAGCUUUGUGUGGCACGAGGGGUGAACUCGGACACACCAUCUCCUUUCCCAGCUCACUGCAGAGCCUGUCUCCAUUCCAGAGCACUGAACCACAGCUCAGCUGCUGGAAAAGUCGCCCCAGGACACUGCCAGGAGGAGGUGCAGGGCAGAGCAUCUCUGCCCACUCCGUGCCCUGCUCUUUGCCCUUCUCUUGUGCAAGGGGUACAGUGUGCUGAAAAGCACAGCACGCUCCUGCUGGGCAGUAAUUUUGUGCAGGGACCCCAGCAGUUAUGGAACACAUGAUAUAGACACAGCUUUACUAGGUAAAUGAUCCAGUU